rnacentral:snoRNA from 2 species
GCGGCUGUGAUUCUAAUGAAACAUCUUUGCUACAGGCGAUGCGCGCUGCGGCGUGCGAGAUGACCUUACUGUUUCCAAUCUCCAACCAAGAUCAAUGAGCU